UAAAUGCUGGAAACCAGAAGCAAAACUCUAGCCCGGAGAAAUCAGACCACCACAAAUUAUCAUUCACUUCUCUGAUCAUGUUGUGUUAAAUGUACUAGUAAGUGGGCCACUAUUUACAACC